AUUGAACGCUGGCGGCAGGCCUAACACAUGCAAGUCGAGCGAGCGGCGGACGGGUGAGUGAUAUCUGGGGAACUGCCCGAUGUGGGGGGAUAACUACUGGGAACGGGAGCGAAUACCGCAUACCAUCAGAUGUGCCCAGAUGUGAUUAGCGCGUAGGUGGGGUAACGGCUCACCUAGGGGAGGAUCCCUAGCUGGUCUGAGAGGAUGACCAGCCACACUGGAACUGAGCCACGGUCCAGACUCCUACGGGAGGCAGCAGUGGGGAAUAUUGCACAAUGGGCGCAAGCCUGAUGCAGCCAUGCCGCGUGUGUGAAGAAGGCCUUCGGGUUGUAAAGCACUUUCAGCGGGGAGGCGUUACCCGCAGAAGAAGCACCGGCUAACUCCGUGCCAGCAGCCGCGGUAAUAC
rnacentral:rRNA from 1 species